UACGUAGGGGGGCAAGCGUUGUCCGGAAUCAUUGGGCGUAAAGAGCGUGUAGGCGGCUCGGUAAGUCCGCUGUGAAAGUCCAGGGCUCAACCCUGGAAUGCCGGUGGAAACUGUCGAGCUAGAGUCCGGAAGAGGCGAGUGGAAUUCCUGGUGUAGCGGUGAAAUGCGCAGAUAUCAGGAGGAACACCAAUGGGCGAAGGCAGCUCGCUGGGACGGUACUGACGCUGGAGACGCGAAAGCGUGGGGAGCAAACAGG
rnacentral:rRNA from 1 species